GACGAACGCUGGCGGCGUGCCUAAUACAUGCAAGUAGAACGCUGAAGCUUGGUGCUUGCACCGAGCGGAUGAGUUGCGAACGGGUGAGUAACGCGUAGGUAACCUGCCUGGUAGCGGGGGAUAACUAUUGGAAACGAUAGCUAAUACCGCAUAAGAGUAGAUGUUGCAUGACAUUUGCUUAAAAGGUGCAAUUGCAUCACUACCAGAUGGACCUGCGUUGUAUUAGCUAGUUGGUGAGGUAACGGCUCACCAAGGCAACGAUACAUAGCCGACCUGAGAGGGUGAUCGGCCACACUGGGACUGAGACACGGCCCAGACUCCUACGGGAGGCAGCAGUAGGGAAUCUUCGGCAAUGGACGGAAGUCUGACCGAGCAACGCCGCGUGAGUGAAGAAGGUUUUCGGAUCGUAAAGCUCUGUUGUAAGAGAAGAACGAGUGUGAGAGUGGAAAGUUCACACUGUGACGGUAUCUUACCGGAAAGGGACGGCUAACUACGUGCCAGCAGCCGCGGUAAUACGUAGGUCCCGAGCGUUGUCCGGAUUUAUUGGGCGUAAAGCGAGCGCAGGCGGUUAGAUAAGUCUGAAGUUAAAGGCUGUGGCUUAACCAUAGUACGCUUUGGAAACUGUUUAACUUGAGUGCAAGAGGGGAGAGUGGAAUUCCAUGUGUAGCGGUGAAAUGCGUAGAUAUAUGGAGGAACACCGGUGGCGAAAGCGGCUCUCUGGCUUGUAACUGACGCUGAGGCUCGAAAGCGUGGGGAGCAAACAGG
rnacentral:rRNA from 1 species